rnacentral:lncRNA from 1 species
UGUAGGGAUGGCCUUUUGUGAUCCGCAUAUCAGAAUGAUUAUGUUAACGAUGCCGCUAAAUUAUUUAUAUCUGACAUGAACCAAAAGUGACAAAACCCUGUGAAGUGGAGAAUAUCUGGCAGUAAAAUCGCCAAGUUUUCCAUACAGAUCAUUUAUAAAUGUGAUGCAAAAUACGUGACAAUUGAGUUUUAAGUCUUAUAGCAUUUUUAUUGGAAAAAAAGGCACACACGAAAUUUGUAACACUCUAGGGACUUUUUCUACUAGUAGUUUAUGUCUGCCCGGACAUUAUUUUACCAGUACAAAGUUAUCUCUUAUAUAUUUUUUUUUCAAAACUAAUAGUCCCAGCGGAAAACUUAUUUGCAAAAACAAACGGACAAAAAAAUGACAUUAUGCAGAUUUUGUAUCUAUAAAAUAAAAUAUUUUACCUACCUACCUACCC